rnacentral:rRNA from 1 species
GAUGAACGCUGGCGGCGUGCUUAACACAUGCAAGUCGAACGAACCUUCGGGUUAGUGGCGGACGGGUGAGUAACGCGUGAGAAUCUGCCCUCAGGAGGGGGAUAACGGCUGGAAACGGCCGCUAAUACCCCAUAUGCCGCGAGGUGAAACGAAUUUCGCCUGAGGAUGAGCUCGCGUCUGAUUAGCUAGUUGGUGGGGUAAAGGCCUACCAAGGCGACGAUCAGUAGCUGGUCUGAGAGGAUGAUCAGCCACACUGGGACUGAGACACGGCCCAGACUCCUACGGGAGGCAGCAGUAGGGAAUUUUCCGCAAUGGGCGAAAGCCUGACGGAGCAACGCCGCGUGAGGGAUGAAGGCCUCUGGGCUGUAAACCUCUUUUUUCAAGGAAGAAGAUCUGACGGUACUUGAAGAAUAAGCCACGGCUAAUUCCGUG